AUUGAACGCUGGCGGCAUGCCUUACACAUGCAAGUCGAACGGUAACAGGUCUUCGGACGCUGACGAGUGGCGAACGGGUGAGUAAUACAUCGGAACGUGCCCAGUCGUGGGGGAUAACUACUCGAAAGAGUAGCUAAUACCGCAUACGAUCUGAGGAUGAAAGCGGGGGACCUUCGGGCCUCGCGCGAUUGGAGCGGCCGAUGGCAGAUUAGGUAGUUGGUGGGAUAAAAGCUUACCAAGCCGACGAUCUGUAGCUGGUCUGAGAGGACGACCAGCCACACUGGGACUGAGACACGGCCCAGACUCCUACGGGAGGCAGCAGUGGGGAAUUUUGGACAAUGGGCGAAAGCCUGAUCCAGCAAUGCCGCGUGCAGGAUGAAGGCCUUCGGGUUGUAAACUGCUUUUGUACGGAACGAAAAAGCUUCUCCUAAUACGAGAGGCCCAUGACGGUACCGUAAGAAUAAGCACCGGCUAACUCUGUGC
rnacentral:rRNA from 1 species